UACGUAGGGGGGCAAGCGUUGUCCGGAAUUAUUGGGCGUAAAGAGCGUGUAGGCGGUCCGGUAAGUCAGCUGUGAAAGUCAAGGGCUCAACCCUUGAAAGCCGGUUGAUACUGUCGGGCUAGAGUCCGGAAGAGGCGAGUGGAAUCCCGGUGUAGCGGUGAAAUGCGUAGAUAUCGGGAGGAACACCGAUGGCGAAGGCAGCG
rnacentral:rRNA from 1 species